rnacentral:rRNA from 1 species
UACGAAGGGGGCUAGCGUUGCUCGGAAUCACUGGGCGUAAAGCGCACGUAGGCGGCUUUCUAAGUCAGGGGUGAAAUCCUGGAGCUCAACUCCAGAACUGCCUUUGAUACUGGGAAACUCGAGUCCGGAAGAGGUGAGUGGAACUCCGAGUGUAGAGGUGAAAUUCGUAGAUAUUCGGAAGAACACCAGUGGCGAAGGCGGCUCACUGGUCCGGUACUGACGCUGAGGUGCGAAAGCGUGGGGAGCAAACAGG